AAUAGUUUAUAGGAAGCUUCUAACUUCUUGAUAGCUAAAGGCUACUA
rnacentral:tRNA from 1 species